rnacentral:snRNA from 1 species
AUACUUACCUGGACGGGUCAAUGGGCGAUCAAGAAGGCCUAUGGCCUAGGCUUGUGACCUCCAUUGUACUUCGGAGGGGUGCUAGCCUAAGGUCGGCUCAAGUGGUCGAACCUACGUUAUAAUUUGUGACAGUGGGGGCCUGCGUUCGCACGGCCCCUAC